AUUGAACGCUGGCGGCAGGCCUAACACAUGCAAGUCGAACGAGUGGCGGACGGGUGAGUAAUGUCUGGGAAACUGCCUAAUGGAGGGGGAUAACUCGUGGAAACGGUAGCUAAUACCGCAUACCAUCGGAUGUGCCCCUAUGGGAUUAGCUAGUAGGUGGGGUAAAGGCUCACCUAGGCGACGCUCCCUAGCUGUUCUGAGAGGAUGACCAGCCACAUUGGAACUGAGACACGGUCCAGACUCCUACGGGAGGCAGCAGUGGGGAAUAGUGCACAAUGGGCGCAAGCCUGAUGCAGCCAUGCCGCGUGUAUGAAGAAGGCCUUCGGGUUGUAAAGUACUUUAAGCGGGGAGGCGUUACCCGCAGAAGAAGCACCGGCUAACUCCGUGCCAGCAGCCGCGGUAAUUC
rnacentral:rRNA from 1 species